AAGGAUCAUUACAGAGAGGGGCCUUUGAGUCCCAGGGGGCUGCGUCCCCCGCCUCUACACCCGUGAAUAUCUACUUUUCCGUUGCUUUGGCGGGACUUUUGGGGUAACACCCAAUGCCGGUGCGCCGGAAAGCGCCCGUCAAAACCCCCCUUCAAAACUGGUUUUUAGGGACGUCCGAGUCAUCAUUUAAUUCAAAACAAAACUUUCAACAACGGAUCUCUUGGUUCUGGCAUCGAUGAAGAACGCAGCGAAAUGCGAUAACUAAUGUGAAUUGCAGAAUUCAGUGAAUCAUCGAAUCUUUGAACGCACAUUGCGCCCCUCGGUACCCCGGGGGGCAUGCCUGUUCGAGCGUCAUUGCACCCCUCAAGCGUAGCUUGGUCUUGGGUUUUCGCCCCUGGGCGGACCUUAAAAGUAGUAGCGGUCCGGAGUGAUUUUCAAGCGAAGUAACCACAUCAUCCGCUCUGUAUUCUCACCCCGUGCCUAAUGUUACGAUAUCGCGAUCGUUUCAAUGAUUGACCUCGGAUCAGGUAGGGAUACCCGCUGAACUUAA
rnacentral:rRNA from 1 species